ACUCGUCACACCCAUUAUAAAACACCUCUCUUCUUCAUCUUCUUCUUCAAUUUAUAUAGUCCAACCCCAAAAAUCUCCUUAGCAAAAUACAAAUCCCUUGGGAGUUUAGGAUGAUUUGCACGUCCAUGCUUCUAAGUCUUCUUCUUUGGUACAUGAAGAUACAGCAAUGCCUCCUUCAACCCUUGAAUUUCCCAAAAUUCAACUCUAAUUCUGCCAUGAAGAACACCACCACCAAUGAUACCAACAAUUUCAACAUCACCUGGCACUCUCAAAAAGCUGACAACAAUGACCACCACUCCUUCAUGGUACCUAGAAUGAUGUGCUCCAUCUUACCUAGAAAGCUCUUCUCAACAGAAGAGAACAUAAAUUUUCUUAGAUACCAACUCAAGAAGUACAUAAGAUGUUUUACUCCUAGUGGUGACAUCCUCUUCGAGUACCAUGGGGCUCUUAAACAUGGACGAUUCUCAUAGCCAAGAUUGGAAUUUUGGUUCCCUUUGUUGCGGUGGACUAGACACUUUACUACAAGAAUAAACCUCAAUUGGUCAUUCAGCUGUCCCUAGCCGAUCGCCCUGGCCAGCCCUGCCCUGGCCCUAGUUGAUUGGACAAGCUGACUUCGUCCAAUCCAGCCCACUCCGUUUAUUGGUAGUGAUGAAAAAUUGUGUGGUAUGGCUAUGGAGUUCACAUUGCCAACUUCUUGCACUAUCUCUGGUGCUGGGCUUGUUAACUUCUCAAAGACACACCGAUUUUUCGCCUUCCAAGUGUUCUAACACAACGACGCAAUGAAGAGGAUCUUUUGUCUACCAUCGAUUUAAGCCGCUGCCUAAGAUAAGCCUCGUUGCUACCAAUUGGGAAAGGUCUCCUUCUCUCUGUCAUAGCAUGCAUCUUGAGCAAGUGGCAGGGGUGGAUGAAAACCAGCUAUGGAUUUGUUGCAACACAGAAAGCUUUUCAUGAAGACUUCCACAAAAAAAAAAUCUUAAUUUUAUGAGGUAAUUUCAAUUUUCAAAUGCUAUUUGAUACUCUGUUAUUUUGUAUAUUCUGAAGUCUCAGUGAAGUAGGAGAAUGAAAGAACUCAUAAGCAAUCUUCUAUCUUGACCCAACUUCGUAUAUACCGGAUUUUGUCCAGCACCAAUUAACUUCAUCCUCCUCUUUUGAUGGUUUGAUUGAAAAAAAUUUAUUGCAUAUAUUAACUGGAAAAAUUGACUCAAUUAGAUUUCUGUUCUAGCUUUUAUUAGGAUUUAGCAGCACACUAAC